AAAAUGACAAGUAUAUGUGGUUGCUUAAUGAAUGCAGGUGAAUAUCAAGGUGGGGGUGGACGAAUUUACACAAGGUCUCACCUUGAACUUGGCAGGGCACCGAAUGAAGAGCUCCUUCCUGUUUUGCUAGAAACCUUAAGUGUGGAAUGAGAAUGAAGUUCUUGUUUGCAAAGAGAGGUAAAAAGGGAGGAGGGCUGUAUUGUUGGGGUGCGAGAAUGCAGCAGGCUCAAGAGAAGUUAGGGGAGUGUGCAGCACAUGUCUCCACCCCUUUUCCUUUUCCCAUUUUCUUGAACUUAGGGGGGGGUGGCAGGUGGUGGAGUAGGAAAGUGGUAGAGUGUAAACCGUAGGGAGUGCCUUUCCUUCUUCAUUUUUCUUUGUUGCAGAUGGUAGAUAAGCAUAGGUGUGUAU
rnacentral:lncRNA from 1 species